GGAGGGGAGAGCUCAGUGGUAGAGCGUGUGCUUAGCAUGCACAAGGUUCUGGGUUCAAUCCCCACUACAUCUA
rnacentral:tRNA from 1 species